UAAACACAAGUUUUAAGUUUGAAAGAUGCAAUUGCAUCACUCAAAGAUGAUCCCGCGUUGUAUUAGCUAGUUGGUGAGGUAAAGGCUCACCAAGGCGAUGAUACAUAGCCGACCUGAGAGGGUGAUCGGCCACAUUGGGACUGAGACACGGCCCAAACUCCUACGGGAGGCAGCAGUAGGGAAUCUUCGGCAAUGGACGAAAGUCUGACCGAGCAACGCCGCGUGAGUGAAGAAGGUUUUCGGAUCGUAAAACUCUGUUGGUAGAGAAGAACGUUGGUGAGAGUGGAAAGCUCAUCAAGUGACGGUAACUACCCAGAAAGGGACGGCUAACUACGUGCCAGCAGCCGCGGUAAUACGUAGGUCCCGAGCGCUGUCCGGAUUUAUUGGGCGUAAAGCGAGCGCAGGUGGUUUAUUAAGUCUGGUGUAAAAGGCAGUGGCUCAACCAUUGUAUGCAUUGGAAACUGGUAGACUUGAGUGCAGGAGAGGAGAGUGGAAUUCCAUGUGUAGCGGUGAAAUGCGUAGAUAUAUGGAGGAACACCGGUGGCGAAAGCGGCUCUCUGGCCUGUAACUGACACUGAGGCUCGAAAGCGUGGGGAGCAAACAGGAUUAGAUACCCUGGUAGUCCACGCCGUAAACGAUGAGUGCUAGAUGUAGGGAGCUAUAAGUUCUCUGUAUCGCAGCUAACGCAAUAA
rnacentral:rRNA from 1 species